GAACGAACGCUGGCGGCAUGCCUAACACAUGCAAGUCGAACGAGACCUUCGGGUCUAGUGGCGCACGGGUGCGUAACGCGUGGGAAUCUGCCCUUGGGUUCGGAAUAACAGUUAGAAAUGACUGCUAAUACCGGAUGAUGUCUUCGGACCAAAGAUUUAUCGCCCAAGGAUGAGCCCGCGUAGGAUUAGGUAGUUGGUGAGGUAAUGGCUCAUCAAGGCGACGAUCUCUAGCUGGUUUGAGAGGAUGAUCAGCCGCACUGGAACUGAGACACGGUCCAGACUCCUACGGGAGGCAGCAGUGGGGAAUAUUGGACAAUGGGCGCAAGCCUGAUCCAGCCAUGCCGCGUGAGUGAAGAAGGCCUUCGGGUUGUAAACCGCUUUCAGUAGGGAAGAAGCGAAAGUGACGGUACCUACAGAAGAAGCACCGGCUAACUAUGUG
rnacentral:rRNA from 1 species